rnacentral:rRNA from 1 species
CGCGAACGCUGGCGGCAGGCCUAACACAUGCAAGUCGAACGAACCUUUCGGGGUUAGUGGCGGACGGGUGAGUAACACGUGGGAACGUGCCUUUAGGUUCGGAAUAACUCAGGGAAACUUGUGCUAAUACCGAAUGUGCCCUUCGGGGGAAAGAUUUAUCGCCUUUAGAGCGGCCCGCGUCUGAUUAGCUAGUUGGUUGAGGUAAUGGCUCACCAAGGCGACGAUCAGUAGCUGGUCUGAGAGGAUGAUCAGCCACAUUGGGACUGAGACACGGCCCAAACUCCUACGGGAGGCAGCAGUGGGGAAUCUUGCGCAAUGGGCGAAAGCCUGACGCAGCCAUGCCGCGUGAAUGAUGAAGGUCUUAGGAUUGUAAAAUUCUUUCACCGGGGACGAUAAUGACGGUACCCGGAGAAGAAGCCCCGGCUAACUUCGUG